rnacentral:snoRNA from 1 species
UGGGAUGAUGAUUUCAUAGACUAGAGUCUCUGAGAACAAAUGAAAGAUGUUUCACAGUGCACUGACCA